rnacentral:rRNA from 1 species
AUGACGAAGCUCAAGAGCCUAACGUCGUCGGUGGGGAAGGCGGAGUGCGCGGGGAGCGCUCGGCAGAUUGCCGGGUCGUCGAUGAAGCUGCUGGUGCGCGUCGUCGAGGCGCGGGGCCUGCUGCCGGUGCACCUCAACGGCUCCAGCGACCCCUUCGUCAAGCUGCAGCUCGGCAAGCGCCGCGCCAAGACGGCCGUCGUCAAGAAGAGCCUCACCCCCGUCUGGGACGAGGAGUUCAGCUUCCUCGUCGGCGACGUCACCGAGGAGCUCUCCGUAUCCGUGCUCAACGAGGACAAGUACUUCACCAACGACCUCCUCGGCAAGGUCAAGGUGCCGCUCUCCAUGGUCAUGGAGGCCCCGGACCUCUCCCUCGGCACCGCCUGGUACCAGCUCCAGCCCAAGAGCAAGAAGUCCAAGAAGAAAGAACGCGGGGAAAUUUGCCUGCGCAUAUCCUUGUCUACGCGCGCGCACGUGUCCGAAGAAUCACACCAGCUACCACAACCCACUUCGGAUGGCAUGGCGUCCAGUUCAGACAGGUCAAUUGGGAACAAAGAUGGAGCUUUGUCAACCAGCAAUAGCUACAUUGACAUGUCAGCCCUUUCCAGUUUGGACCGAUCAUCGCAGGGAAGUACGGAACGAUUGGGGGAUGGUGCUGUAGACCAACCGCCCCAGACCAGCAUUGACCAAGCAGUCACUGAACCUGGAACCGCUGUUUGUAAUGAUGCGAUGGCGAAUACAUCGUCGGUGGUAGAGGUCUUGUCUCGCUAUUUCUUUGGGAAACCUGCUGAUACUAAUCUGCCUUCCAUCGUUGCCUCUGACGCCGAGUCGGUGGUGGAGCAGUCCGAAGAGCCAAAAGUUUGCUCUGUAGACCGUGAAAGUCCCGAGAAUGGCACGCCAUCCGAGUCAAACCUUGAUGAGCUACUGAAAAUCAUGGAGUCCAAAGAUCAAGGCUGUGAAAUGCCAGCAAAAUUGUCUAACGGCGUUCUAGUUGACGAAUCUUAUGUUAUCGCACCAGCUGGACUGAAUUCCCUCUUGUUUACUCCAAAUUCAGAUUUCUGGCCAGCAGUAGCAGAGCUUCAAGGAACAAGUGGAUUUCAGAUUGAACCAUGGAAGAUCGAUAGCAACGAUGGUUGUUUGCGAAGAACAUUAAGUUACAUAAAGGCCGCUAGUAAGCUGGUUAAAGCUUGCAAAGCCACAGAAGAGCAGAAAUACUUAAAAGCAGCUGGGAAUUCUUUCGCUGUUUUGUCUAUUGUUAGCACUCCUGAUGUUCCUUAUGGCAGUUGUUUCAAGAUAGAGAUAUUGUACUGUAUAACGCCAGGUCCCCAGUUAUCAUCUGAAGAGCAAACAGCACAUCUUACUGUAAGUUGGCGGAUCAACUUUCUUCAGAGCACAAUGAUGAAAGGAAUGAUUGAGAGUGGUGCAAAACAAGGCAUGUCAGAAGGUUUUGCACAAUUUUCUGAAGUACUGUCCCAAAGGUUUAAAGUAGCUGAGCUUGAUGAUGCCAAUUCAAACAAAGCAAAGAUUUUAGCCUCACUACAAGCACAUAAAGAACCAAGCUGGAGGUUGAUUGUCCGCUUCCUUGGGAACUUCACAUUCAUAUUCUCUGUUAUCAUAGGGAUAUAUGUUAUAGUUCACCUUCAUUUAUCAAGGCCCAAAGUGAUGAAUGGGCUUGAAUAUUUUGGCAUUGACCUUCCAGAUUCAAUUGGAGAGGUUGUGGUUUGUGCUGUCUUGAUCCUUCAGGGACAGACCAUCCUGAAAGUAAUAAAGCGCUUCUUGAAUGCAUGGAGACAAAGAGGUAGUGAUCAUGGAGUCAAAGCUCAUGGAGAUGGCUGGUUACUGACUGUUGCACUUAUUGAGGGUACUGGUAUACUAUCUGCUGGUUCAUCUAAACCAUUUGACCUAUAUGCUGUUUUUACCUGCAACACGAAGAGGAAAACAAGCUCAAUUAAAUUCCACGCAUCUGAUCCAAAAUGGAACGAGAUAUUUGAAUUUGAUGCAAUGGAUGAUCCACCAUCAAGGAUGGAUGUAGCUAUUCAUGAUUCGAAUCAAUUAGAUGAAGCUCCCAUUGGUCACGCCGAAGUGAACUUCCUGAAGAGCAAUUUGUCAGAUUUAAUGGACAUAUGGGUUCCUCUUGAUGGGAAGUGUGAUCCAGCAAGCAACCCUAAGCUACAUUUGAGAAUAUUUUUGAACAACUCGAGAGGAACUGAAGUUGUUCUGAAUUACCUGGCAAAGAUGGGGAAUGAAGUCGGUAAGAAGAUAAAUUUGCGGUCAGCACAAACAAAUUUAGCAUUCCGAAAGCUCUUUAACCUCCCUCCUGAAGAAUUCCUCAUCGAUGAUUUCACCUGUCAUCUAAAACGGAAGAUGCCACUUCAGGGACGCGUAUUUUUUUCUCCAAGAAUAAUUGGAUUCUACUCUAAUAUAUUUGGUCACAAGACCAAGUUUUUCUUUCUGUGGGAAGACGUUGAUGAUAUCCAGGUUAUCCCUCCUACACUGUCAAUUGGCAGCCCAUCCUUGAUGGUUAUCCUUAGAAAGGAUAGAGGGUCAGAAGCAAAACAUGGUGCCAAGGCAACAGAUCAUCAUGGAAGACUCAAGUUCCAUUUUCAGUCCUUUGUUUCGUUCAAUGAUGCUCACAGAAUAAUCAUGGGGAUUUGGAAAAUGCGAUCACCGGGUCAAGAACAGAAAGGAGAGGUAAUUGAGGAGUCUGAACCAAAAGAACUCCAGGCGGAAGAAUGUGGAUCCUUAUUUACCCAUGAGGAUGUCAAAAUGUCUGAAAUAUUCUCAUCAGUUCUUUCUGUGGACGUUGAGUCCUUGAUGGAGAUGUUUUCAGGAGGUCAGUUGGAACACAAAGUGAUGCAAAAGACUGGCUGUCUGGACUACUCAUCAACAGAAUGGGAACUUGUAAGCAGAAAUAUAUUCAAGCGGCAAAUCAGCUACAAGUUUGACAAAGCAUUGUCUCGAUAUGGAGGAGAAGCAAGCACCACUCAGCAGAAGUAUGCCCUAGUGAACCAAGAUGGCUGGGCCAUUGAAGAGGUGAUGACCCUCCAAGGUGUUCUACUUGGGGACUACUUUAAUCUCCAGCUAAAGUAUCAUAUGGCGAACAUACCGUCAAAACCAAACACCUGCAGCGUGCAGGUUUUAUUGGGGAUUGCCUGGUUGAAAAGCACCAAGCAACAAAAGAAGAUCACAAAAAAUAUCAUGUCCAACACCUCGAAUAGAUUGAAGGAGCUCUUUUCCUUAGUCGAGAAGGAUCUUACGUCAAGAAACGGUGGAAGCUAA